ACGCUGGCGGCGUGCCUAACACAUGCAAGUCGAACGGAGCACCCUUGAAAGAGGCUUCGGCCAAUAGAUAGGAAUGCUUAGUGGCGGACGGGUGAGUAACGCGUGAGGAACCUGCCUCGGAGUGGGGGAUAACACAUCGAAAGGUGUGCUAAUACCGCAUAAUGUACAGAGAUCGCAUGGUAAUUGUACCAAAGAUUUAUUGCUCUGAGAUGGCCUCGCGUCUGAUUAGCUAGUUGGCGGGGUAACGGCCCACCAAGGCGACGAUCAGUAGCCGGACUGAGAGGUUGAACGGCCACAUUGGGACUGAGACACGGCCCAGACUCCUACGGGAGGCAGCAGUGGGGAAUAUUGCACAAUGGGGGAAACCCUGAUGCAGCGACGCCGCGUGGAGGAAGAAGGUCUUCGGAUUGUAAACUCCUGUUGUUGGGGAAGAUAAUGACGGUACCCAACAAGGAAGUGACGGCUAACUACGUG
rnacentral:rRNA from 1 species